UGGGAUCAUAUUUAAGAAUGGGACAGACAAGGAGGUAAGGAAGAGAAGCUAGGCUAUCUCUGCUGGAUAGGCAGCUUCAGAGGUACAAAACCCUUACCAUUCCUAACCUGGAUUGGGGAAAUUAUAUUUGCCUUUCCAUUCUAUAUUGCAAUUUCGUGAUAUGUGCAUACAAUUUUGGUACUUUGCAUAAACUGCAGCAAUUUGUUUGUGGUGAUAUCAAGUCCUUGGUGAAAGAUCUAUAAAC
rnacentral:lncRNA from 1 species